GAAAGAAAAGUUGGGGGCAAAUAUCAGAAACGGAUAGUGAGAAGGGAUAUCAACAGUAGGUGGCAGGAAUGCACCAUUUAAGUUGGAUUGCCAACAGCCAUAAAACAUCAACAGAAGAAGAAGAAGAAGAAGAAGAAGAAGAAGAAGGCGCUUCAACUUGUCCUACCUGAUGAGGUAUGAACGUCUUUCUAAUGCAGAACUUGAAGUGGUCCGGCAGUUGGUGGGAGAAAAUGAAGAGAUCGGAGCAAAUGCUGUUUUUGCCAGAUUAGCUGCUAUUGGUGUUCAAGUGCAGAGAAGAAGAGUGAGAGAGAGUUUGAUUCGAGUGAAUCCAGCUGGAUCCGCACAAAGAGCAUUGUCUCACCGACUGCACCGGAGAACCUACAGUGUUGCAGGAUCCAACUUGCUGUGGCACAUAGAUGGAAACCACAAGCUCAUCAGAUGGAGAAUAGUGAUCCAUGGCGGAAUCUGUGGCUUCAGCAGGCUGGUUGUUUUUUUGCAGGCUUCAGAUAAUAACAGAAGUAGCACAGUGUUUUGACCAGUUUGUUCAAGCCACUGCUAGGUAUGGGGUACAGUAAAUUUUUUUGUCCAUGCCUCUGUAUUGUUUCUUUGUAUCUCUCUCCCACCGGAGGGACCAGUUAGUCUCUGUGUCAGCUAGAGGAGA